rnacentral:tRNA from 1 species
GCGGAUGUAGCCAAGUGGAUCAAGGCAGUGGAUUGUGAAUCCAUCAGACUUCACCGAAUAAUAAGAAGCUUAGGACCUCCGUA